CACUGUUUGGUGCUUGAAAUAUUUGCUAAAAUUGACCGGGAAUACUUAGAGAUUUCAUCGUAGAAUGGCCUAGUUAUAUUUAUUUGCUCUUUGACUAAAAUGUUUAGCUGUAUUUGUAUCGCUAAACAUGCCGUUUUUGAGAAUUUGGUUUGCAACUAGGUUUCAACGCCAUCAUCCCAUUGAAAACAUUAGGUCACGUCAGCUAGUUUCCUAUCCAUGUAUUUUAU